UCCACCUCUGGAGUACUGAGGUUACAGGCAUGUGUCACCAUGCCUCUUUCUGAGGUGCUGGGAAUUGGACCCAGGACCACGUUAGGUAAGUGUUCUACCAACUGAGUUGCACCCCAGCCCCUCUUUCCUGGUUUUGUUUUUGUUUGUUUUGUUUUGUUUUGUUUUGUUUUGUUUUUACUGCUAGAACUCUCUGGCUAGCGAAGUAUUCAAAGUAGGCUCCAGGUUCUACAGAAACCCCUGGCAGGCAUGUGGUCCACUCUGGCCACCGGUCUGGGCUGUACUGUGCAUUGUGGGGUGUGUUUGGUUAAGUGCAUAGAUUCUUUUGUUCUCCAAGAUACUGCUUACCUCUUCUGUGGUUUGCAGCAAGUCUCCAACCUUAGUUAAGUCUUUCCCGGUGGGUGGAGUCUAAGAGGCCCCAUCCCUCUCCCCUACCCCUCCUCCCCUCCUCUCUUCCUCCCAGGGGACUUGGCUGAUGCAUCCCAGGCCUGGCCUGCUGUAGCCCAAAAUAGAAGGGAAGGUGGGGCAGCUGGGAGGGGGGGGGGCGGUGGCGGGGGAAGAUGCCACUGGCAGGGGCCUGGCCAGCCAACAAAAGGGUCCAGGACAACAUGAUGGAUGGAUGAGCACAUGUGAUAGGAGGGACCACACAAUAGCUCCGAUUUCAGACACCGGCCUUCCCCACGCCUGCAAACAGCUGACAGCCAUGGAAAGCGGAUGAAAUGGGAUUAGAACAACCUUUCUCCAAAGGCAGCAAAGACUGCAGAGCGUGACAAUACUGUCCCUGUCCGGCCAGCUUCCCGGAUGAUUCUGCCAGCCUGGAACCAUCCCUCCCAGUGGGGCCCAGGGCCAGGGACCUGGAGAGUGGGGGAGGGGAGGGACAGGACAGAGAGCAGCCACCAUUGGUGUCUCCAGGGAGACCAGGCAUGGAGCCACAGAGAGCCCUGGCUCCUGCAAAGGUCACCUUGUCCAUCUUCCUGCCCCCUGCCUGGCCCCAGGAUUAUGGAGUCUUUGCAGGCUUGUACCACGGUUAGGCCGCCUUCACUCAACUCUGCAGGGGCCUGACUAACAAAUCCCUGGGGCCAGCUCCCCGUACCCCCUCCUUCCCAGCGUGACAGGCAAACCCCAGCAUGUCUGUAUCAGGUGGCAUCAUUUUGCCCACAAAAUAGUCAUGGUGCACAGUCCUGAGCUGCUGCCUAUGGAGAAGCCAGCAUGCUAUUGUUGUUGCUGUUAUUAUUAUUGUGUUCUUGACAUCAUUGCUGUUUGUCUACUGUGUCUAUAUAUCCAUUCCAUCCUUUGGCUCAAACUUCCAUACCGUUCAAGGACCAGGCUGAAGGGAGGGGGACCUGAGUCAAAGAAGUAGGGCCACCCUACCAUCAUUGACCGUAUCGUGAUCUGCCAAAGACCCAUUCUUGGCCCCCUUCACCCUCUACCCCAACAGGACCCAUGAAACAGUGAGGGAUUGUGGGACCUUCUGAUCUAGCUUGUAGCCGCACGCAUCCAGGUCACGGCUGGCCGCUGUGUAUUUGUGUUCAUCUUCCCUUGCUUGAAGAGGCUGCGGCAGGGGUGAAAGGAAUUGAUGUUUAUUUUGAUAACGAGUUCUCAAUGCGUUUGCAAACUAAUAAAAUCAACUCAUUAGGCUGCAUGUUUAAUUCACAACUGUACUGUGGGGAGCCUUCCCUGGUGGCUGAUGGGUAAUGUGGGCUCCCUCCUGAGAUGGGGGGAAGUGUCUUCGGUACUUAAACUCUCUAUGACCAGCAGCACGAGAAGAGGAGGAGCCCUGCUCUUUCUCCCCACGAAGGUCCAGCCCAAGAAGUAGUCUGAGCCCAAAGCCAGAAGACAGCUUUCGCUGUCUCUGGCCUCUGGUAGCAUACCCCCACAUGUUGGCUAAGGGGACAGAAGAGCGAAGAUGGCAAGGAUCUGGUCCUGAGGGCGUAGGUGUAAGUAGAGUCGAUGGAUUCUUGAGAGCUAACGUCGAACAGGAAACAUCCUUAACUGAGUCAUGUGACGUGGGACCCUAGUGGCUCUUUCCAUGAAAGCCCAGUAAGCAAAAGUGAAGGGGUCGCCGGGCGUGGUGGCGCAUGCCUUUCAUCCCAGCACUCGGGAGCCAGAGGCAGGCAGAUUUCUAAGUUCGAGGCCAGUCUGGUCUACAGAGUGAGUUCCAGGACAGCCAGGGCUACACAGAGAAACCCUGUCUCAACUCCCCUCCCAAAAAAGUGAAGGGAUCAGGGUCAGGUGAGGAGAUCAGGGGUCAUUUAUAGGGUACCAAGUCUAGGAGCCGUAGUAACUCGGUCUCAUAAUGACAGAUCUUAGACCCCUCUCUCCUUAGUACAUGUUCUACUAACCACGGGAGCAGAGAAUACCAAACUCAGAAGGUAGACCCCCGCCUGGACUGUGUUGUGUUUCUCUUAUACACUGCCCCAGGGCUCUGGUCAUUGAGGAGGGUAGUCACAGAAAACAGCUCAAGGGGGCCCUAAGGAGAGUCCCUGGUCAUAGUAGACCCUGGCCCAGCUAUGGAGAGGAUUUUGGCUCCACCAUCCUCCUCUUAGAAAAGCUCUGGGUUCUGAGAUGGACUGGGUCCUCCUAUAUGAUGGUCCCCCACCUCAGGAAUGUCAAAGCAUUGAAUGACAGGUGGGUGCUAACCUAAAUCUUCUACCUUCCCCUAGGAGAAAGCAAGUCAUUUAUGUCCCUCCAAGCUUGUGAGCUUGGGUGCUGGGCUCUUGGGAGCUGGGUAUCUCUUAAAUAAUGUCUGUGUGAUCCCUGUCAGGCAGGGAAGUGCCUCAUAUUUCUAGUAAAGUUCAGCUUCACGACACAGAGAAGACACAGGCCUGGGGACCGAUUCCCUGUCCUUUAAAAAGUUGUACCAUAUUUCUGAUAAUCUUGUUCUUAUCUCCCAAGAAAAACUCACGUCCAUGAAGUUGAAAUGUGAGGACCACUCCCUUCCAUGUUUCUGUCUCUCUUCACUUCUGGACAUUACUGCUCAUGGGCACUUGCCCCUUCUUCUGACACACCAAACAUGAGCACAUGUGCACACACAAGCGCAUGUGCUCAGAUGCCUCAGUCAUUUGGACACAUGCCACUGUACACAAACACACCCACCCACCAGUUGUACACAGGCCACGUGCACGCCCCGCCUCUCACUCAGCUGCUUUGAGGAAAUAAGUAAGUGUGACUGCUCUUCUACCACUCUGCAUCCUGACUGCACUGAAGCAGCCCUGUGAGUCAGAGACCCAGACGGUGACCCAGAUACCGAGAACCAUGCACACUGCCCUUGAGAUGUGCAGCCUCUUGGGACAUGGGAUGAGACCAAAUUCAGGGCGGUGACAGAAUGGCUGGUUGAGUGGUUCGCCCCCCUCCCCCUUUCUGCAGUGUCUAAUUUGGAGCAAGGAGCUUCCAAAUUAGAAGUAGGGGAUCACAUGUGUGUUUGUGUACCCCCAGUGGCUGGCAGGUCCCUCUUUGUCUUCUGAGGGCUCUGUGUCCUCAGAAACCUCUGGCUCCUUUCCUUAGAAAUACACAUGCACACUUAAGAACGUACAACUUUUAGGAUAGAAUCGCAGGGAGUUUCGAGGUUAGCCUGUGGAGCCCUCGGGACAGAGGCUCUGGAGCACUCUAGGUUUUAUAAAGUACCUCCCAGAGGCCUUGAGGAGGGAAGAGGGUGUCUCCUCCUGUCUUUCUGGGGCUGGUGGGGCCAGUGGAAUGGGCAAGGAUUCAGGUUUCCCUUGCAGCCUCCUGGAGAGCUCUCCCUGCUCACGGCAAGCCUUGCUGAAUCCAGCAUGGUUGCCUCUUGGUUGCUGUGGUGGGGAACCUCGUAUGUACCCAGCAGGUUCUGGAGGCGUCCAGGAGAGUCUUAUAUGACAGCCCAACCUUGGUCCUACCAUUCUGUGCUUCCUUCCUGUGCUUGGCUGCUUUGAGGUGUGAAGCAGUCUUAGGACGCUGUCCCACACAUCACUAAGAUACCUGUCACCUCCAUGCGUACUCACUCCCAGUAGCAGAAUUGAGUUCGGUGGCUUCAGUCUUGUGAUACUUCUAGUUGGCUCCUGCCCCUCCCUUGCUCCCUCCCCGCCACCUCCUGUGUGUUUUUGCUGUUCUUAUAACACAAAACUUUCAUCUUUAAGAAGAAGCUGUUUUUUCUUCUGUCCCCGCUUCCCUCCUCCCUUCUUCUUAUGAUCCUACCUCAGGCUUGGAAUCCUGCACCCCACCAGGCUGCCUCUGUGGAGUUAGUGAUCAGCCCUUAACUGUCUUCUCCUUGUGUAGCCUACCCUUGCCUUGGUACCUCCCUCCUUGGCUUCUCUAGAUGUCCAAACUCUGAUAUCACAGCAUCCUGGGACCUCACCUGGCUCUCUCCUCUUCCCAUACACACUCCCACCUUGGUGAUCUCACCCUGUGUCCAUGGCCAGGGACCAUGCCUAUAAACAUGCCUCCAGCCUAGACCUAACUGCCAAACUCUGCAUCUACUUAUCCAGUUUGCUGUUCACGAAGGUGGCUGCACUAUCUCAGCCUAACGUGUCUAAGUUUUCACUAGUCCCUCGAGACAGUCUCCUCCCUAGACCUUCUCAGCUUUGUAGAGGGCGAUGUGAAGGCACGUGUGUCCAAAGCCAGGACUUUAUGGUACCCUUGGCUGCUUCACCCUCUCGGUCCUGCAAGCAAUCAAUGGAAUCAUCUGGUAGGCUGGGAUGUGCCAAUGACCUACAUGGAGUUCAGCACCCUGCUUUGCUGCCUCGAGGUGCCAGGCAGCAGCAUCUGAUCCUGAGCUGCCGUAAUGAUGGCCUCUGGACAGUGACUAUUGCCACCUCUUAAAACUUAGCAACUCUCCUCCAGGAGUGUGGCCUGCACUUCAUGCAUUAGUUUCUAAGCACGCCAUAUGGAAAGGGAGUUUGGCCAUGCACCUUGAUAGUACAGAAACCUAGCCAGUCUUAUCUCACCAGUGGUCAAGGUUAAUGUCAUCUGUGAUGCGUCACAUGGACUUUCUGUCAUACACAAAAGUACUACACACACACACACACACACACACACUCCGAAAAGUCCCCAAAGUAAGGUACAUGAUACAUUAUAGCUAACUUGUUACAACUCAAAAGGUGUAAGGUCAUCAAAGACUAGGCUUGCCAAAGGAGUAGCCACUGUGUGUGUGACGUGAGAAGAUAGGGUUCUGGGUGGCCUGUGGGAGACAGGAGGAGACACGGGAUGCUGGGGAUAUUGGAUGUACAUGAUGUGUAAUGAGUGGAUGGGAUGGGAUGGACCCAUGUUGGUUCCCUAGUUGUUACUUGUGUACAGCAGUAGGCAAGAAGCUAACAAAGGGGAGACUGGGUGAUGGGGACACAGGAAGCCCUCAUCCUAUUUCUGCUGUGGUGUGGUCUACAAUCGUCCUUGUUUGAGUGUUGGGUUAUUGGCUUGUGUUUUGUGUGUUAAGUCGGUGUCUCAUGUAGCUCCAACUGACCGCCAACUCAUCACCUAGUGGACAAUGACCCUGAACAUCUGACCUUCCUCCUCUACCUCUGAAGCACUGGGAUGAUAGGUGUGUACCGCCAUGCUGAUUUUUGGGCAGUUCUGUAGACCUCGUUUAGAGCUUCCUGUAUGCUGGACAAGCAACCCACCAACAGAGCUACACUAUUCUAAAAUCGCCAAAUCAAAACCGGAACACGGGUUCUCAAAGCCCACAGUGGGAGCCUCUGGAGCAGUGGUUCUCAACCUGUGGGUCACAGUGCCUUGGGGGGGGGGGUGUCAAGUGACUCCUUCACAGGGGACACCUAAGACCAUCAGAAAAUACUGCUAGUUACAUUACGAUUCAUAAACGUAUGCAAAAAAAUCACAGUUACAAAAGUAGCGAUGAAAUAAUCUUUUGGUGGAGGGGUCACCACAGCUUGGGAAAAUGUAUUAAAGGGUCACAGCAUCAGGAAGGCUGAGAGCCACUGGCCUAGAGUAAGAGCCAGGACUUUUGGGGCCCUAAGCUAUGAGCCACUGUUGCAUCUCUGAGCCUCUGCCUCACACCUUGCUCUCUAGCCACAUAACCUCUUCGAAGCUUCACACCGCUAUGUGGCCACAUUCCAGAACCUUCCGGUCAGUUCUCUGUACCACCCAGAAAGUUCUGCCCAGGGAACUGCUGGGCUCUGACCUGGAGCAUGUCCUCUAGGUAGGACCUGACUUCUUCCCCCUAUCAGAUACAGCAGCCUGUGCCCAGUGCCUCUGCCUGUGCCCUAGACCCUGAAGCUUUCAUUCUCUCCUCCAUCUUGGUGAUCCUUCUCAUACUCUACCAGACUGGCUGCCAGAUGGCCGCUAAACCCCCAAGGCCUUGGUCUCAGCAAGUGGUCCACUAGAGGAUCCUUAACGUACAGAUCAGUGCCUGGGAUAUGCAGGUUUGUUGAAUGAAUAAAUUGAUGACCAUGGCCUGACCCAUGUGGUGGGCCCAGUUAACUGUUAAAGUAGCAUUAAAGUAUGGAUGUAGAAUGUUCCCUCCAAGACCUAUGUGUUAAAGGCUUGGUCACUGAACAUGGAACCAAUGGAAGGUGGUAGGACCUUUAAGAAGCAGGGAUUGAUGGAAAGUGGUUAUAUCAUUAGAGGCAUAUCCUAGGGGACAUUAAAGGGGACACAAGGACCCUAGCGCCUUCCUCAUUUUUGCUUCCUGGAUAGCACUCCAUGCCACCAUUGUGAUCUGUGUAGCCACAGGCUCAAAGAAGGAGGGUCAAGUGACCGUCACUUGAAACUUCUAAAUAUAUGAGCCAUGAUAAACCUUUCUUCCUUACAAGUUUGCUGUCCUGGGCAUUUUGUUAUAGUGACUGAAAGGUAACCCUCCCACCAACCAUUGCACAGACUGAUAGCAGUAUAUGUGUCAGCUGUGGUCCCUCAGCCCCACUUUCCCCUGGGGCCAUUCCCACCAAGGCCAUCCUGUUGCAGACAUCUCUUCUCUUUUGAAGCUCUAGAUGGUUCUGUGGAGCCCUCUUGGCUACUUACCAUUCCCUCCCCUUCAAUGGCACUUGAAUGAGCCAUUGCCUCUUCUUGGGGACACAUCUCAUCUCUUAGAGGAUGCAAGGUAGAGAUGGAUGAGAUGGCUCAGAGGUUAAGAGCACUGGCUGCUCUUUCAGAGAACCCAGCCUCCAUUCGUAGCACCCUCAGGGCUGCUCACCACCAUCCAUAACUCCAGUUCCCAUAACCUCCUAGCCUCCAAGGGCACUGCACACACAUAUACAGACAUACAUGCAGACAAAACUCACAUACACAUAAAAAUAUUUGUUUUUAAAAAUCAAAAUGUUAGGAAAAGAGGUCACUCCCAGAAAGAGUGUUAAAUGAAUAUGACAUGAAGAAGCCAUCCCCCCUCAGCUGCCCAGCUAGCUACGACAUCUGGCUCGAGCCUCAAAUAUUAGAGAGCUUCUGCAGACGUGAACCAAUCCCAUGCCCCUCCACCUGACACCUAGAAAAUGGACUUGAGCCCACAGUAGGACCCUUGGACUUGAGCCCACAGUAGGACCCUUCCACCAGCUCCUUCCCAGAGCCUGAGUCUAGGUGCCUCUCGUGGCAUCUACUCCUAACUGGCUGGCCUUUCCCUGUCCCCUCCCCAUACAGGAUCAUGUGGAUGAUCCAAGAAGGUACCUAGCAUGCUUCUAAGGGGAGAUCUGGAGUGAUCCAAGGUGGCUAGAAACCAGUGUCACCAUUUAGCAGUCAGGCCACUUGGGUCAGCUAACACCACCUCUCCAAGCAUGCAUGUCUGUCAUAAGACCCUGCCAUCUGACCGUGCAUUGUUUGGGAGAGUGAGAGUGCCUCACACAACCCAGUACAGAAUGAGCACCAGCAUGGGCUAGCUAUUGCUAUCUUCUUACCCAUGGGACCCACCCACUCCCAACCUUUUCUCUCAGUCUGCCCAGUCUCCACCUGUCCAGGUCUCCUGGGGAGUGGGGGCUGCGAGUCCAGCUCCCUGAACCCCUGUUACAGCCUCUAAGAGCCACACACAGGCUUUCCCCGGAAAGUCCAUCCGUGUUAGUUGAGGCAUGAAGCAAAGUAAUAACGAGAAACACGCUUGGUGUGCCACCCCCCGACGAGCACCCCACAAAUAAAUAAGAUGUUUGUGCUAGGGAAGCAACACAGCCCCAUCUCCGCUAAUUGGAUCUCAUCAGCCCUCCGACAAGGCCACCUCAUUUGCUUUGUUUGGUCUGAGUAGAUUGUUUUCCUUAUUUUUCUUAAACCCCAGGAAGGAAAAAGGCAAGUCCACAGUUGUCUGUGGUCUCGCUGGGCCGGCAGGAAGUAGGGUUUUAGCUCUGUCAGGCUUGGGGAGUCUGAAAGGGGAGCAUAGAAGUUGAGGGAAGAGAUGGCCAAGCAGUUCAUCCAUGAUGUCACUUCGAGCAUGCGUGGAAGGGCAGGUGGUGUAAGGAUGAACGUGACCUGUUAGCUCAUGUGUGAAGUUACUGAGGGACACAGUUAGUGCAUAUAAGUGUAUAAGGCAUUGUGUAACAGGGAAGACCUCCAUAGGGUGAUGUCAAGCCAACACAUAGGAAAAUCCAAAAUGAGAACUACAAACUAUUAGUGAUGGUCCUUCCCAAAAGGUGAAAGAUACCUUCUGUGGGGUCUCAUCUCCUCCAGCCUCCAGACAGCCUCUCCUCCAUGUCUGCUCCCCUCUUCCAUGGUCAAAGGCAGCUCUCCAGAGAGCCUUCACCCAGCCAGCCAGCCAGCCCUUACACCUGCUCAUGUGCCCUGUCACCUGGGCCUUUGCCUUACUUCCCAGGGUCUCUGCUGUCAGCAUACAAUCUCUCAUCUGUCAUCUGUCACCUCUUUCCUGUGCUGGUGCCUUCCCUGCACACCUCCUGGAAGUGACAUCGCCACUUACCCAUAGCCUUCCUUUGAGGCUUGGUCAAAGUGAUCUGUGAACCCCACAUACAGAAUUCUACCAAAUACUUCCCUACCCUGCCCUCAGGUGCUUCCUCUCCUUGGCCCCCAGAACUCCUGUCUUCCAGUGUCCUUUUGCCAGCUAACUCUCCUCUGUCUAUUAAGAAUCUCCUCUUCUUGCAGUGGUCCAAUGACUAUGGGUGUCACCAGUAUACUUCCCCCAAGGCUUAACUCAACUUCCUGCUGAGAUAACUGUUAUGAGCCCAGACCUACUGAGCAUCUCCAAAAUCUUCAGCACCCCAAAGUGAUCCCUUCAAUUUCUACCCUCAUGUGCUUGUUAUCUUAUUGAGAACCCUGCCUGUUAGAGCUGGAACUGAAUCCCUAAUGGCACCCCCAUUUCUCCUACACCCUCAUGCUGAAUGACCUGCUCGGGUCUCCUGGAUUUAGAGAUGAGCUGCUAGCUGUGGCUGGUUCCAAGAAACUGUUGGGGAGGAAAGGGGAGCCACAAUGAGGUCCCUGAAUCAUUUCUUGUCCCUUGAAACUCACAGCCUGUGGGUCCUUUGAGGUGUUGUAUAUAGCGGCAAUGCUGUGUGUUACAGGCUGGGAUUCCUUCAGGGCAAACUGAGGUAUCUGGACGCCUUAGCUCACUUCCUGCAGCCAUGUGUGCCACUCCUGGGUAGGGUUCUAAGGAUGCCAGUGGUAGCCUUGGCUGCUUACCCUCCGGAGAUGAGUUCUCCAUCUUUCCUGGAAGGGAUAUGACUAUUGGCUACGCAGGUCUGCUCUUCAGCCGGUCUGAAUGGGGCUCUGUUCUGAGGACUGGCUGGGGGCGCAGCUCAAGAGAGUAUGUGUGUGAGCAUGGGUUUCCAUGACCCCCACCUGGAAACCACUCCUGGCCUCACCCUAGAAACAAACACUCUGUGGCCAGGCAGGCUGACGUGUUGGCGCCUGUGUCCAGGAGCUGCCCGGCGGGCGUUCCCUACAUGUGGCAGACUCCAGGGGGUGUGCUGCCCAUUUGGCCCUGGGUUCUAAGACAUCCGUUGUCCUCCUGCCAGAUGGGCCUCCCUCCUCCCUCCACAUUCUCUGAGUCCUCUCCCAGAGGCUCCUAUGGAGAGAACCCUUGUGACCGUUGGCUUCUGGCCCUUUAAGAAACGGCCCAGAUUCAGAGUGGAGGGACCACAAUCCUUCACCUGGGAAGACAGCUGCCUCCUGUGGCAUCGGUCACCUUCACUGCAGUCUUUAGGCUCGAGAGUGGCUAUGAUUUGGAGAGGCAGAUAUCUUGCCUACCAUCAUCAAUGUAGCUGAUGCAAGAGCAUUCUAGAUUCUUCCAGACAGAACAUAGGUACUUGGUAUGAAUCUUCCAUCUAAAGCUAGAAGUCCCUGUCUACUUCAUUCAUAGUGGUCUAACCUGUGCCUGGAACCCUCACACAGGAAGUGCUGUUGACAGGGCAGCCCACUGACGGUGGGAAACAAUGGCCCCCUGACCCUGAGUACACCCUGCUCCUCCAAGUCUGUGUUCAGAUAACUCAGGAGUUCUGGGAGACAGCCUGGAACCUAUGUCGUUCUGCACCCCCAGAAGAUAUGUUACCGUGUCUGCAGACACUCUGGGUUGUCACCUCUUGGAGAGGAGUAUUGACUUCCCCCUCCAUCAAGUGGAUAAAGACCACAGGCUAUGCUAAGAUCCUGUAGGACACAGGGCGGCCCUGCAGCCAACUGUGGUCUAAAGUCCAGGCCAUGUUGCCAGCAGUACUGGGGUGGAGAAAACUUGCUUUAGACUAACAUCCUCCCUAAGGGUGUGCCAGCCCCAACAGAGGGCUCCUUGUGUGGGUUUCUUACAGUUUUUGAGACUAAGAAGAAGCCGUCCAAUUCCAUGUCCACGUCGUGACAUCUGAAACAUGAAGCUUUGCAUAGGAACCGAUAAAAACUUGGAAAUGUUUCUUCCAUCCACAAACUCAUUAAUUAACACCUACCAGGCGACUGCCGUCCUGCUAACUACUCGAGAUUCCUAGAUACUGUGAGAUGAGUGUGCUCUUGGGGGCCUUGUGAUGGGUGGUGUGUGGAUCCCAGGAGACUGGGGAGGGGGAUGGGCCCCACUCCUCUAGGCCCAGCCUCCUUCCAGGCUGAGAGCAGCCUGCUGUUCAGGGUUGCUAUGCUUUGUGGUCUCUGGGCCUCUCGGGAAAUUCUUGGAAGGCGGAGGCUCAAAGUCCAGCCUCGAAGGCAUUAGUGGCCUGUGUUUGUGAUGUGAUACGAAAUACUGCUAAUUCCCAGCCUCAGUUUCUCAAACUUGCCCAAUCUGCACCCCAUCCAAGUGGUGUGAACCAGGUAGCUUGAGGCAGUGCUGAAGGCCAGAAAUCCAACAUAGAUACGGAAAAUGUGGGCUCCCUUGGGAGGCCAGCAGGUACCAUUUUGUUGGCAUUGUGCCGCCACUGUCAUGGCUUCUCUGUCUCUGUCUCACCCCUUCUUUUUGUCUCUAUGACACCAUCCUUUCAUGAAAGUCCAUCCAAUCCCCUAGUAGAGCCCACCCAUCCCCCUAGGAAAACCCACCCAUCCCCCUAGGAGAGCUCACCUCGUUUUAACAGCUUCUCUGUAAUGAGGAGGGGCAUUGGUUUCCAUAUGGGAUAACAAAGUUGACAGGCUGGCUACACAGUUUGUGAAUGGCUCCUUCUUCCACAUGGCCUCCCUGGGGCUACCUCUGUUCUCUAAGGAUGCCCGCCUACCUGGGCUCCUUAUCAAGUUCAAGCAAUGACCACAAGCCCAAAUAAAGUCACAUCCUGAUCUACGCUGACAUAAAGUUGGGGCAAAUUUUAUCCAGACCAGCACACUUACCCAGCAGUCCACUCAGUUAAACUCCCUUCACUAAGAAAGACAGACCCCUGGCAUCCUGCUUCCUGUCCUACAGUGGACCCAAGUCUGGCUUGGGCAGAGACCAGAAUGCAAAGGGAGAGCUGGCUGGAUUAGCCAGUCUGAGCCGCUCCAAGGACAGAAGAAGGGUACCCAAGUGGGAGUGGAGAUGGGACUGGCUGGCCUGGGGGAGGGGACUGUUUGUUUUCAGGACAAUAAAUGCCUCUUGAUGGGUUGUGGUUUACACAGGGCCUUGAUGCCAGAUCGAGUUGUCUGCAUUGAUUGCAUGGCCACAAAGCCUGUCACAGAAAGGAGAGGAACUGGCAGGGGAACCUGAUGGCCUGUCCCCAGACCAUCGCCCAGGCGUCCUCAGAGGUGUCGGGAAAGGUGCUGAGUGAAGAUCAGAACCUGCAGGGUAGCUGCCCUAGAGAGAUCCUGGGUACUCCGAGCUAUGACAGCUCCGAGCUUGGGCCCUGAGGCUCCCCGCCCCCAACCCCCGUCCAGGGUGGGCAGAGGCUAGGAGGCCUAUUGGGAAGGAAUGUAACGAACAAAUUAAAACCCUUGUUAGCAGCAAGGAUAGGGCUUUGGAAGAUCAAGGGAGCAGGGCUUUGGGAGACAGCCACUAAUUUAAUGAAGAGGAUGAAUUCCAGAUGUGGUCUCUGGCCAGCACACAGCUGCUGUCCUUGGACACUUGGGGAGAACCCUGGACAGAGAGAGAAGGAAGCAGAAGAAUCAGGCAGCCCAAGGCUAGGGUUAGCAUCGUCUCUGCUUCCAGCACAAGGAACCAGUGUCAGAGAAACACAGAUAUCACCAUAUACUUGGGGCUGUCGAUGCAACAACCACAGUUUGAGGAAAUGCGUGGUGACGGAGCGGGGCUCCAAAUGCAGCCUUGCUUCUAAGUGGAUCCGUAUCCUGGAAACUUCACCAUCGACCGCUGAUGACCCAUGGGCAUGGGGGUAGUCGCUCUAUGUACAGAUGGGGUUGCCCACUUCCUGCACUGGAAGAACUCCCAGGAACAGCUUAGAAGCCUUCAACCCCCACGCUGGAGACCACAGGCUCAGCUUCCUGGAGGAUGAGAGCAAACUAGCUGCUGGGAGGGUCUGGGGAGGAGCCAGUCUGGCUCCAUCCUAGGUCUAAAGGAAGGGGGUAGCUGGGGGGAGGGGAGGACACAGAGUUGAGCAGUACUUGAAGAGAGAGAGAAGACAGAUGUGGGUUCAUGCGCAUUGCCCUCCCUUCAUCCCUCUUCCUCCUCCCUCCCCUCCUUUCUCCUCCUCUUUAAGCCUUACAACAUGCAAAUCACAGGCCAGGCCCAUGGUGUGGGAGGCAAUAGUACAACAUCUCCAGUCUUUGCCUUCUAGAAGCUUCUAAGCCUGCUAUAUGAUACUGAUACCAGUUAGGGAGAAAACAACAACAAAAAAAAAAAAAAAAAAAAAAAAAACAAGAGAGGUGGGCCCAUCUAACAGAAUGCUACACUUGCAGCUUGCUUCCUAAUCAGGAAGAUCUGUUCGAAUUUUCACAGACUAGGUGGUAGCACACAGGCCAUUUCGCUGGUCUGCCCUCAGGGACCUAGCAGCUGCGUGUGCUAUCACCACUGCCACCACCAGGUGUGCCAGGUGUGUACUGUGACAAAAGGGCCCCCAGCCAUUCCCCAGAUCUCCUCCCAGAUCUUCUCUCUGACCUCCAUACACACCCUCUCCCUCCUGCCCCACCCCCCCCACCCCCACCCCCCUUUUCCUUGCCUUCAUGGCUCUGCUCCUCUCUGUCUUCCGGUCUCCAUGCCUCUAUCCCUUCCCCAGGUCCUCACUCAUCCCCCGCCAUCCCCAGAUACACAUCUUUUGCACCAGGCCUGUUGCACAGCACACACGACAUUGUAUUUCAUAACACACUAGGGACCUGUUUACAUUUUUUACUUAUGCAUUUCUGGGGCUUGGGGAUAGCUCAGCUGGUAGAAUUCUUGCCUAGCGGGCACAAAGCCCUAAGUUGGAUUCCCCAGCACCACAUAAAGCAAUAUGCUGGCACCUAGGCCUUAUCCCCAGCACUCACGAGGCAGAUGCAGAAGGACCAGAAACUCAGUCAUCCUGGGCUACUUACAGAAUUCAAGGCUAGCCCAGGCCACAUGAGACCAGUCUCAAAUAAAAAAAAAUUAUGUUUCCUUUAAUAUUCAUACCCAAGAGUCAGAGGCAGGCAGAUCUCUAUGAGUUCAAGAGGGGUAGCUGGGGGGAGGGGAGGACACAGAGUUGAGUUGCACUUGAAGAGAGAGAAGACAGAUGUGGGUUCAUCUCUAUGGCCUGGUCUACAUACCAGUUUCAAGCUAGACAAGGUUACAUAGGGAGACCCUGUCUCCAAUUUUGUUUUUCUUUAUAAAACAAGGAAGGAAAGGGAAAGGGAGGGGGGAGAGAAAGGAGACACUUUGAUGAAGAAGAAGAAAAAAAAAACAGCUGGAGCCAUUGAUACCCCAUCUACUUUCUGUGCCCUAGAAAUAAAGGUGAUAGCCAGAGAGGUUCAAAACUCACACCUCCAGGCUCAGCACCCUGCCUGUGUUGUGGUGACACUGGGGUAGACGUGCCACCCCAGUGAGGCUGUUUGGAGCCUCUGCUAAGAGAACAGACCAGCUGUCCAGGCUAUACCCAAGCCUCACACUUAACUGGAAGCUUCCUGUCCUGGAGGCUCAUUUACUGACAGUGACGGGUAUGGUGAUGCAGCUUAGCAAGUGGCUUCUAUAAAGAGCGGAGCCUUGUCCUCCAGGAGGGAGGAGAGAUGGGCACUAUCAGAGUUAUGGAUUUUAUUGAGUCAUAAGCAAAGCUGGAAAAAUAAACAAUUAAAGUCGGCUAAAGCACGGGGCUGCUGAGCCAGCUAGCUGACCAGCCUGUGGAAGCAGAAAAGGCCCUGACAGAGCUACCGUGGAGUAUCUUUGUGACCUGACUUGGAGGAAGGCAUGGGGUUAGGGAGGCUCCCAUCCUCCAUCUCUCUAGUCGCAGGAUUAAUCUCUGAAUGCUGUUGGAUGGCCUCAAUAUUGACAGUCAUCAAACAGCAGGGGGUGGGGGGAGAACUCACCCACGAUAUGGGAGGGUAUCCUCACAUCCCCACCCAGGGGAGAUGGGAUGGACAGAAGUUCUUCCUUUGGGACAUCUGUGUGUAACUCUUCACUGGGUCACCGGUUGACUAGGUAAUGUCUGAGUAGCAAUUAGAACCCUGUUGAACCUCUGCCCCAGGAUCUGUAGCUUUAGUGAGAAUAUUUGGCUGUGUAUGGAUGCUGUAAAAGAACAAGAAACAAAACAAACAGAAACCAGACUGGAAGUGCUAGUUCACAGAGCUGUAGAGACAGGCAGGCGGAGGGAGUCUGGGAGAGGCUGCACUGGAGUUCUCAGAGCUGGGACCAGAACUGGGGACAUCAUGGGCCCAUUUAACUCUGUGGUUCCAUGCCCAGGGCCUGGUCAAAGGUCAUCUAUAUCAGGGGGCUGGUUACUCUACUGCUUAAUAACACCGAGGCCACAGAAGUUAAAUCUCCGUCAGUCAGAGGGCCCUGACUGUCUGCUGACAGUCUGCUGCAAAUGUGUCUCCUGCGUCCAGAAUCCAGACAAUGAGAUAUACCUGAGAUGGCUUCUCCAGACCUUGCUUUCUGUCCAGUCAGACAGAGAGGAUGAAGGCCUGCCUAGGCAUAGCCUGAAUCUCAUGGGCCCUGUGACAUGCAAGAGUUAAAAGUACUGAAAAAAAAAUAGUCAGCAAGGAGGAAUACAGAGAAGCCAAACAAACAAACCAACCAAACAAAACAAAACACAUACAUACACAUACAGGAGAACCUGGGAAUGAGUCAGCUAAGGACAAAAAUGGACCCAGGUAUAGUGCAGAGAAGAUAAGUCAAGAGCCAUUGAGCCUGGCUACCAUGCUUGAUACAGGGGGGGCCUAGUGAAAAGAGGAGGUAGCCCCUGGGCCCCAGGAUGUACAACCAGGGUUCCCAGAAGGAAAGGCCAAGCAGGGCAUAGAUGGAAGCAAAGCCACCCCCCCCAAGGUCAAGGUCAGCUCCUUAGUCACAGCCAGCCUCAUCUCCCUCCUCCAUUCCAAUGCUGCAAUCUGUGCCAAGAAACUGUUGCCAGAGACCUACCAUGGGGCAAGCCACUCAUAAGAGUGAUGAGCGGGGUGUUGGGGAGGCUGGGACCAGCCACUCUAUGCUUUAUCUCCAUCUCCGCCUUCUGGUACUUAAGGAGCAUUAGAGACAGCUGGAAUCUCUGUGAGAAAGAGAGAGAGAGAGAGAGAGAGAGAGAGAGAGAGAGAGAGAGAGAGAGAGAGAGAGAGAGAGAGAAUGAGAAUAUGAACCUGGCCACAGGCUGCCAGAACAUGGCACGGGUCAGGGUAAGAAUAUGCCACCAGCCAUCGCUUCCUAUCAAAGACCAGAAGAGGAGCAGAGAAGCUAGCGUCUGCGCAUAAAUGGUCACACAAGCAUGAGCAUGUGGGUGGGUAAGAUGUGCCGUGGCAGAAAAUGUGUCUGCACCUCAGCCAUCCUUUAUGGAUAAGGAAAGUAAGCCUGGCAGAGGUUAAGUGUUGUGACCUCUGUCCAAGCCAGGUGCACCAGCUCAGCCGUGUUCCCUGGGGCCAGGGGGCGGGAAGAAGGCAGCCUCCGAGUCAUCCCACCCUCUCACCUAAAUGUUGCUCACUGCACCAGGUGCUGUCUCUCAUGUUGUCUGCCUGGACUUCCUGGUGGGCAAGUUCCAAAGCCACCAGAGUCUGUGUGGCUUCCUAUCAGGCUUCUCUCUGUCAAUGGGAGGCCAGCAUGUCAGCACAGGCAAGAUCAGAGGGGCUGCUUGGGGUAUCGAGACCGGGAAACCUCUGGGCUGAUAACCUCUGAUCUCUGCCAUAUCACAGGGCUUCCCCAUCAGCCCACCUGAGCCGGGUGCAUAACACCUCCAGCUGCUCGGUGACUGUUCCAAAUGGCAGGGAACCCAGAAGCACCUCAGCCCUUCCUUUCCUUUCCCUUCCCUUCCCUCCUAUGCAUUCCAAAAGGGACAAGCUCUUGCCAGGACUUCGGGGAUAGAGGCCAGGCCUCCUCAGACAGCAUUCUGACCCCUAUCAUCUAGAGCUGCCUGCAUUUAACUUCCUGCCUAUUCCUGAGGCUGUUGGAAGCAACUGGAACCAGCUAAUGCUGGCCAAGGGCCCCAGGCCAAUGUCACUGACUCCACCCCACAUCAGGAGGUGGCUAGGGUCCAGACAAAGAGUUGGCUUUCCUAUGUUGGCCCUCUAAACUUUUCAGGGUAUGUCCUUCCCAUGCAGAACUGAGGGACAAAGAGACAAGGGGUGAGAGCCAUGACACUGCCUCUGCCAGAACUAAUGCCCAACUCUCUGCUCCUUCUUCCCACCCGACCACAGACAUAGGUCACACCUGUGGCCUUUUCUGCUCACAAGCACAGCCACACAGGUCUCAGGAACACUCCAGGACCCUUGGCACAACCUGCCUUUACCCUGGCCUACACCUCCCCAACACUUGUCUCCACCCCUUUCCUCCCUGGGUGGCUCACAGCACCCCUGUUUCUUGAUCACCCACUCACUCAGCAAAUGCAAAGAAAAGUCUCAGGCACCAAGCAUGGGCCAGGAGCUGAGGGGUAACUAGGGACAAGACCAUGCACUGAUGCUAUGCUCGGCACGUGACCAUCUUCUGGUCAGGAGAGCCAAGAGAAGAGAAAGGUGAAAUUUAUAUAAGCUGUAUGCUGAUAAGACUCAGGGAAGAUGAGGGUGUGUGUGUGUGUGUGUGUGUGUGUGUGUGUGAUGCACUUGUAUGCUUGUUUACAUAGUUGUAAUGCUAGAUGCAAGGUUUGAAUUGUGUAUUUGCAUGUGUGUGCUUCUUGUCUGUUUGCAUGUGUAGAGUGCAUGUAUUCAUUUAAAUGUAUGUUUGUGUGUGUGUGUGUGUGUGUGUUUGUGUGUAGUCCGUGUGCAUGGAUUUGAGUGUGUGCGCUUUUAUGCAAGUUUGCAUGUGUGUAGUGCUGUGUAUGGGUGUUUUUGGACAUGUGUGGUUAUACGUGUGUUUGUAAGUGUGCAUGUGUAUGGUACUGGUGUGUGCUCUUUCACUCACCCAGCUUCUAGAACACAUAAUGUUCUCUUCCUUCCUGCCCUGUAUGGAAGCAUGGUAGUGUUGCCUCUAGAGCAGUGGCUUUCAACCUUCCUAAGGUUGCGACCCUUUGAUACAAUUCCUCAUAGUGUGGUGACCCCUGACCAUAAAAGUAUUUUCAUUGCUACUUCACAACUGUAAUUUUGAUACUGUUAGUUUUGGAAACAGAGGUUUGCCAAAGCGGUGGUGACCCACAGAUUGAGAACUGCUGGUCUAGCAUCCCAUGAAGAGGCGUUAGAGACAUAGAAGGGGAGAGGGGGUGUUCUUGCCCAUAAGAGAUGCUGUGAAUACCAGAUGUGGGCCCCGUGCCGAAGGCCAGUAUUCCAGCCUAAUGUGACUGCCACUAUGGUAUAAGAGGAGUCCAGUAGCGGACCUACCAUAGUGUAAGCAAAUCCUCAGCGCCAGAGGCAGCAACAGAGGACAGUUCACAGAUGUCCAGGAGACAGUGGAGAUGGACCACAGUAAGUAGAUCUGAUCUGGAUUAGCAUCCCAGGCUUGCUUCAUUACCAUGAGCUGUGUGGCAUCUUCUUGCCCUUGCGUUUUCCCUUCUAUUAAAUGGGUCACCAAAACUUCCCUUGUAAGUCCUCUAUGAGAAGCCAAGAAGCCAGUGCCUUGUAAGUGACACACACCUGGACGGGCACUCGGAAAAGGAAAGGCACUGAGUAUGAACUGGGAGGUUGAGGGAGGGUCUUUCCAAGGCCCUGCUGUAUACCCCUCACCUCUAGGGGAAAGGAGAACAGAAGCAGACACCAGCCCACAUCACAGGCCCAGGCCACUGUGCCAUUUAAUAACCUCUCAUGCCUCGCCUCCUGGAUGCCUUUCUGCUAAUCCAGUUAGCACCCGCAGUGAUCCGAUUACUCUACUCAGUGUAAGAAACCCCAAAUCUCAUCAUCAGGCAAAUGCUCACGUGGCAUGGAUUGGGGGUGUUCCAGAGCAGGGGUUCAACACUGAUUUGCUUCAGGGGCCAAAGUCCUCAGACACCAUUCAUCCUUUCCAGCCCCCUGGACACAGAGAGAGUGCUGUCUCUGUUACCCAGAAUCCCAAGUGCUUACUUCACAGCAUCUGGGGGACCCUCUCUGAUCUAUCAUAAUUGUCCUGGGUAGAGCCCCAUAAUUAGUGAAGGGGUUCAGGCUGUGGGGUGCUCCUGCAGGUACCUGACUUGCUUGGACUUUCAGGAACACCUCUAAAUCCAUUACUCCCUGCUGUCACUAGACAUCAGUCACUUGGGAGGUCUAAGGAGCCAAGGACAGAGCCCACCCAGCCUCCUGGGAAGAAAUAUAGCCAGAUCCAGGGCAGAAAAGGUAGACAAGACCCUGGUGCACAUUUAGGGAAGUCCUCCCAACCUCUAAGUCUUCCUGAUGAUGCAGCAGACUCCCCUUGUCCAAGGUUUUACUUUCCAUCAGCUGAGGUCAACCACAAUCCAAAAACAUGAAAUGGAAAAUUCUAGAAAUAAACAGCUUACAUUGUAAAUAACCUUCCAGCGCAGUAUAUUGUUACAGUUGGCUCUUCUCUGUCAUUUGGUAUUAUGGAUAAGGGGAGACAACUGUAGGUUGAAUGUGUAGGUGGGGCUGACUGAACUCAGUCCUCAUGCCUGAGCAGGGGGCACAGCAGGCCGUCCCUGGAUCCCCAUCCCUGCUCCCAUUCCACUGAGCAGGAUGGUUUGGACACUUGGGUCCCAAUCUUGCUGCCUCCUCUCCCCUGUCCUCCCUCCUUCCUGGCUUGGCUUAGGGUGAUAGCUCCUAGAGUCCCCAGUUAGACUCCAGACAGCUAUAUUUCUGCUAGGCAGCUCACCAGGCAGGAAGCUGAUGAGGACAGAAGGCUGGAGGGUGUCAGGGGCAUAGCGAAAGGACUACCAUCAGCCCUGCUUCAAAAAGAAAAAGGACCCAGAUUCCACCACUCCCUCUAGGCCGGGUUCCCAACCCAUUGUGACCAUUCUUAUCCUGUGAAUUCGGCUCUUACACGUUCUAAUUGCACAGGUAGAACCCUGCUGGCAGGUUCAGGACAAGCUCAUGGAACCAGUCUCCCAUUGUGCCCUGAUAGAGACCCAAGGCCUCAGUCAUUCUUAGUGGCACAGGUGACAGACAGCUACUUGCUCAGGCUUGGCUCAGGACAGCCAUAUGCGAUUUCUUCAGGCUAGGGAGCAUGGCCUUCCUCUGUGUUAUGUGAGCUGGGUGGGGAUGGGGGUCGGGGGAGAUGAGCUGGAAUCCAGGUUUCAAGCUGAGGAGACUGAAGACAUCAUCCUCUCCUCUUACACAGGACAGACUGGGCUGGGCUCGCUGGUGGGGCAUCCUCUGCGGUCCUGGAGAGACCAAGCCUGCUCUUGGUAGCUUGCGGUCUCUAACUAAGCCUGUAGUGCAUUUCCCAGGCCAUGGCCACCUUCUUGCUGCCUGCUUCUCACCUGUAGGGCUCCCUGACUGUCCGAGUGGUAGCUGUCCUCAGAGACUGCUCUUUUCUCCUUAAUGGUGAGAAAUGAAGCAGGCCGGGGCAUCAUGGUGCCCUCUGCACUUGUGCCAUGUCCUAGUGUAGUAAUUCUCACUUCCCAAUGCUAGGACCUUUUGACACAAUUCCCCAUGUUGUAGUGACCCAAACCAUACGAUCAGCUUUGUUGCUACUUAGUAACUGUAAUUUUGCUAUGGUUAUGAAUCGUAAUGUAAAUAUUUGUGUUUCCCCACUGGUCAUGGGUGACACCUUGUGAAAGGGUCUUUGGACCCGCAAAAGGCCACAGGUGAAGAGCCAUUUCUCUAGUGCACUCUGAUCUCCAACAUCGUGGGAUCCCAGCUCAGUCAGGUUCCAGGCACAUUUGCACGGCCAGUAAACAAAGACUCCUCUUUUCUCUCAAUGUUUUCUGUUUAAGGUGUGGGUGAAUCUGGGCUCCUGGGUGCCUGAGGGCAAACUCUGGUGUCAGUCUUUAUUUUUCACUUUGUUUGACACAGGGUUUCUCGUUCUGGGAUGAGUGCACCAAGCUAGCCGGCCUGGAGGCUGAGGUCUCCCAUCUCUGCCCUGCAACUUGCAGUAUGAGAAUGGGGUUGCUGAUACAUGCUGCGUGCCUGGUUUUAUGCGAGAUCUAUAGAUUUGAGCUCUGGUUCUUGGGCAGUAAGUGCUGUGCCUACUGAGCCAUCUCCUCAGCGGAGACUAAGCUGUUAGCAUACAUAUGCCCCCAAUAUUUCAGAUAUAUUCUACAUUCCACGCAUACACCCCAAAUCUAGUCUGUGCAGCCCCAAACCUCACAAUCCAGAGGCUGGAAGAAUGUAUCCCUGUAUCUCAUAUGGCUAAUCUGCCAAGUCCUUUAUGAAGUCUGGGACUAAAGAAGCUGGGACCUUCCUGGGAGAGGGAGAUAAACAAGAAAGCAGGCAUGACACCCCAAGCCAUCUCCUGUUACUUGCAGAUGCCUGUGACCUCAGUGGGGACUGACCUCAUUCUCUGCAGCAUGAGCAAAAUGUGAACAAGCCCAGGGAGGAUGGUCCCAGUGAGGGACACCAUGCUGGGUGGAGCCCUGGGAUUUAGAGUCUCUGAUCACCACUGCACUAUCAGAAUGUCCCAGCAUAAUGGGGCAGGGUUUGAAGAAGCGGUCAAGAAUCCUCUAGGACGGAGACAGCCACUCCACAUAGUAAACGGUGCUGGGUCUCUGCCCUUGUUCUGCAUGAUGGGCAGAGCCAGCUCUGCCUUGCCGAUAUGUACCCUGCAGGACCCUUGGGCUUUCUGGCAUUGUUCAUUCACAGGGGCAUCAAGUGCCUGGGAAGGAGGGGUUGGUUGCCAGGUUGUCAAUUCUCACAUAUUCCUGGUACUCAGUCGCAUUCACACACAUGCCCAGAUUCCGGGAACAGCCUCCCACCCGACCCUCCGAUCCAGGCUCUCCCCUUCCAUCCUUCGUGCAGACAGCUGUCCAAUUCAUCUCGCUAAAUGUCCUCUUUCAUCAAAUGCCUGCCCCUUCUCAAAGGCCCCCACCGCUCCCUGGUUCCUACAGAGCCAAGGCUCUGAUUGUCAUCACCUUUCAGACGUCUGCAUCCUCUGUUUCUGCGUUCUUGCCAGAGGCCUGGUUCCCCGCACUCCCCCCACCUCCACCCCAGGCCCUCUGGCCAUUGGAAAGAGGCCACUUUCAGAGUAGAACGCACACAUUUGCAGGUGCUGCUGAUGACAGCUGCCUGCCUUCUCUUUAAGGCUCUCCCUCCUCCAGUCCUUUGCCGUUCACCUGAUUACAGCAAGGACAAAGACAUCAUUAGGUGCUAAUGGCACAGCACUUAGUACCUCCGAAGCACCUGUUAAUCCUCAGCCCGCUGCAGGCUGACUGUUCUAACCCAGCACACAGCCAGGAGUGAGAAUCCAUCACGGCUCUGCCCAUUUGCCACUCUGACCAUUUGCCAGCUUGCCCACCCGCCUGCUCUUGGGUCCCAGUCUCCAAGGGCCAGACCAGAACUGCCAGCACCAGCCAGCACCACCUUAGAGCACUGCGAGCAUAGGGAAUGCAGGGGAUUUUCCAUAUUUCUGUCAGUCUUUACCACUGCUGGAUGGCAGACAGCAGUGCCCCUAUUUCACCAACUGGGAAACUGAGGCUUGGGGAAUAAAGGCCUUGGCUAAGACUCACAAUCCUCUCGUCAAUAGAAUGGAAUGCAGAGCCACAUCUGUCCAUCUGUCUGGCUUCAAGGUCAUCUUCCUGGCUGCCAGCUCUUGUCUGUGUUGAACUGGCUUUCUUUCUUCAAAUUUGUGAUUCUGACCUAUACCUCAAAGCCCAGAUAGAUCCCCCAAGACUCACUCUCUCACCCCCCCCCAGUGGCCUCAAGCACCUGAAACUACAUUGGGAGAGACCAAAAAAAAAGACAUUAAGACACUAACACAUAUACUGGUGUGUGUGUGUGUGUGUGUGUGUGUGUGUGUGUGUGUGUGUGUCUGGACAGUAAUCUUUCCAGCGCUGAAGGAUCCAGUUCUUAAACAUCCUACAAUCUUCCUAUCGUUCAGUGGUAAGGCUGGAUUAAAGAGGAGUAUACAGUAGUCACUGACUAGAAAGACUAGGGAGUCAAAUCGUUGCAGCAUCUUGCUUUAAUGAAUCACUGCAUACAACCAAGCCUCUCUCUGCUGUCAUACUGUGUGCAGCAUGAAGGGGUUAAUCAGCCACCCUAGUUUCUUUAGCUCCAGUUCUAAUCCUGUCCUUCCACUCCACUGGGGUCCUUCGACAAGGUCUCUGUCCUCCUCCUCUGACAAAGAGAUCACUGAGAGAGCUCACUUGAAGAAGUCUGUACUAGAGCAGGAUGUGGGCUGACCUGUGUGCAGCAUCUGUCACUCAGAGAGCUCCCUUGGGGCUCCCUGUGCCGAGGCUCCCCCAUGGAACCACACUGUCCUGGCCUAUAAGGGCUCUACAGGGUCUAUAAGGGUCUGUGGCGUUCCACCUCCCUCUAAUGUGAGUUACAAGGUACCCCAGCCUCAACCCUGCUGCUCUUUGGGACCAGAGCAUCCUGGGAAACUAUUGUAGCAACUGAAAUAUCUUUAGACAUUACCAAAUUUCCCCUGGGGCCAAAGUGAGCCCUGAUAAAAACCAGUACCUGACACCUGGACCUCCAACCUAAGGGCACACUAAUGCCUCCUGGAAGAUUCUUUAAACCUCACACUCCUGAGCCCCACCCCCAGAGGUCCAGCCUUCCUUAGGGAGUCCACAGGACCCUGCUUUGAGAACUACUGUCCAGGUGUCUUAUGAACACAGCGUCAGGCAGUAGAAAGGUAAGGUACCGAGCUGAACCCCUGAACAGAGAGACCUGACUCCCUGGGAGUGUGCAAGAUUGGAGACUAACUCAAGACUGACAGAUUAGCAAGAGUCAUAGACUUAAAGGCUAGGGAGAACACCGUGAAGGGAGGCAGCUGUGUGCUUAGAAGGAGCCUAUUCAGGAAAAUAGACGAAGGCCGAUCCAGAGAGGUCAGAUAGAGGGGUUAGGCGGCUGAGGAGGGUUGUUUGCAGAGGAGCUCAGGGCUAGACGGCUCAGAGCCAGAUGGAAAAGUAUAUUGCCUGGAGCCAGCAGAGCCCUCAGUAGACCGCUCUACCUGAAUGGAGAGCCAUCAGCUCUAGAAGUGGCUGAAUGUCUCAUCUGUGAAUGGCCAAAUGAGUCUGGCCGUGGCAAGCAGAGAUAAUGUGCAAAGAUACCCCUAAUCAUCGAGCCAGGGGACAGAGAUAGACACGCACCCGCAGCUGCUCAGGAGAGCAGCAUGCUCAGUGACCCAGGAGACAGGCGUGCCGUGCGUAGCCCCGGGGCAGUGGCAGUGCAGUCACUUGGCAGCUGCACAGUGGGGCUGGCUGGCUGCAGUGGCUUGAACCAGCUCUGCCCUGACACAAAUGGCUCUGGGAUCCACUUCUAGCCUGUGGCUUGGGGACACACAGCCAGGCCAAAACUUAGUGGUAAAAUCAAGCCAGCUGGCUCAAGGGGCCUAUCCCAAUGACCCCCCAGACUCCACAUCCCAGAGACAGAAUUUCAAAAGCCAGAAUUUGAAGCAGAGACUACGCCGACUUGUGGCUAGCUGGGAUGCCCCUGUGUGAGUUACAGACGAGACAGUCUCUUCCCUAGCAGCUAGAAACCAGACACAGUCCUGAACCUGUUGCUUGGGACAUUUUAUCUCUCACUCUAGAGCUGUAAGAGACAUUUUCUCCCCUCCUGUACGGAAGAGGAACCAGAGAGUCGGGGUGGCUGUUGGGAAAGCGACUGAGCUGGAAUUCCAUCCAGACCCACCUCUGAAGACCGUGUUAAAUGUGGCUUUUCUGCCUCUUAACACGGCGUUUAUGUUCCCUCCACAUCCCCUCAUAGAGAUGUCAUGAGAAUCAGACAGGACAGAUCUGAGCAUUACAACUCUGAGAUUGUAAUCACAGUCACAGAAGUCCCGAGCCUUCUGCUCUCAAGAGCCAGACGUGCUUGCCUCCAGACAUCAGGAGAGACGUUUCAGCCAGCCUGGGCAGGGGCUGAGGCUGGGGCUGGGUCUGAGAAUCAAAUUGGGGUGUCCCCCAAAACAGGUCCUCACCCACCCCCACACAGUGUGCUGAAGCAUCCAAAAUUAAAUUUCAUGCCUGGCUGCACAGAGAUACCAACUCAGCCCCGUGUGUUUACGGCUCGAGGAGGAGAUAAGAUUUGAUUAAGAAGGCCGCUAUUAAUUUAUGGAGUACGCCGGCGCGGAGGGAGAGGCUGCUUUUAAUUAAUAGCCAGAAGGAGUUUACGCUUUUGGUCUCAGCAAGGGGGAGAGGGCUGGGAGGCUCGACAGAGGAUGAAUUGAUCCAGACACACUCUCACCUUCUCUCUGAAGAGGAUAUAAAUAAAUAAAGGCAAUGGGUGGGAAGGAGAGAAGCAGGCCGUUCUGGCUCCAGAGAAUGGCAGGUAGGCUGGAAAGCCAGCCGGCAGUGGGGGAGAAACGAGAGGAUGUAGGAAGAGGAAAGGGAAGAAGGGGGAGAAGGAAGGAAGAAAGUGGAAGGAGGAGGUAGGAGGAGGAGAAGGGAGGAGGAGGAGGAGGAGGAGGAGGAAGAGGAGGAGGAGGAAGGAGAAGGUCUAGAGGGAAGGGAAAGAGAAUUCAGUUUACAAAGUAAGUCUUUACAAGUAUGACCUUGCCCUGGCUUUCCCACAGCCCCGGGAGGCAGACAGAUAGUCAAUUCUAGAAUAACACGAGCCAGGGGGAGGGGAGAGGAUGCAAACUUCUCAGAAGAGGCUCCAAUGGCUGUUUCAGCUCCCUUCUGCAACAUCGAUGCUACCAUCCAGAUGUCGUUCCUGCCACCCACCUCUUGUCCCUGCAUGUGUCGGACUCUACAGGGAUGGCUGUAGAUGUGCCCAUUUAGUAGGGGUGAAACUCUGAUAGGUCCACUUGGUGCCUAUGGAAGGUGCUUGAGUGCCCCCACCCCAAACACACACACAGAGGAAAUGGCAGAGUAGAUGCUCAGAGCCACAACAAUGCUCACGUGGAUCCUUACCUGGCUUAUAGCUACUAACACACUGUAAAGGCUGAGCGUAAACAGUCUAUUGCUUGGGAACCCUGACAGUGUGUUUUGUACAGACAGAACUUGGGAAGUCGUUUUUCAUCUGACGCCGGUUGUCAGUCACUGGGCACAGAGCAUGUGGGUACAAGACAAGGGGCGGGCUCUGUGUACUUCUGGUCUUAAUCUUAUAUUAGACAAGAAAUGUGGGAUUUGGAGAAGCCUAGUGGCUUAACAAGGGCAAAUAAUUGUUGAGCAGAGUCACCUUCUCUAUUACACUGUCUAGGCUCAGAGGGAGGAGACCUUUGCUUAUUCAGGCUUCAGGGAGUGGCUGCUGAGAAGAGAGCAGCCAGGCUUGGUGGAGGGUUGGGAGGGCAGGAAUCCCUGGGAAACUGAGCCUGCACACCCUGCCUGGUUGGGGGAGCUCUGGCCCUGGGCCUGGCCUGCCCGUUGUUUUCCAUUCCCAACACACCACACAUGGAACUUACUCUUACAGAGUUUGAGAUCUGAAAGGAACUCCGAGACUCUUUAGUUGAUUGGUGCUCAGAGUGUAACACACAGACUGGCAGAACCAGCACUACCCAGCCACAUCCGAGUGCCGGGGCAGGCCCGAGGAACUGCUAUACAACAAACCUUCUUGGUGAUUCCCUCUGCCAGUCUCUUGAAAGCAGACUCCAUUUUACAGACGGUGAGACUGAGGCCCAAAAAGACCCCCCUGAGUGUCCCAAGAGUAUAAAACUUGAUGGCAGACGUGGUAGGAACUAGUCUUGGACAGACUACUAACUCUCAGCUCAGUGACAUUUGUGCAGAUUAAACCUUAUUAGCUGCUUCCCUGGCUGUGCCAAAAUACCCAACAAGAAACAGCUAAAGGGAGGAAGGAUUUAUUUUGGCUCGCAAUGUGAGGGCACGGUCCAUCAUGGUGGCUAUGCAUGGGGACAGGUGCUGGGAGCAGCUACGCGUGUGACAGGAAGCAGGAAAAGAUGGAGGCUGGUACUCAGCUCAAUUUCUACUUUUUUGCAAUGAUCCGAGCCUAGGGGAUGGUGCUACCCUUAGGCACGGAAGGUCUUCUCAUCUCACUUAACCUAAUACAGACAUUCCCUUACAGACAUGCCUGGCUGUUUGUCCUCUGGCCAUUCUAGAUUCUAUCAAACUGGUAGCCAAUGGCAACCAUCACAGCCCCCAGCAGAAUGCCAAGGAAAGGGCAUACGAACCAGGCAGGGCUGGCUUCAGAUCACAGCUUCUAGCUUCAUGGCUCUGUGUAUGUUUCUCAGCCUCUUUGUGUAUUAGCUUCCCACGUCUUAAGUGUCUGAGCACCCUCGGCAAGCUGGCACCACAGAGUGCCAGGCAGGGUGACAGCAAGAAGCCAGCACUAGGUCACUACUCCACAAUGCCUUUGGGACAGAGCAGGAGUGAGUUCUGAGCAGAGUAGACUUUCCUCUGUCCCCUUCUUCCCGUCUUUCAUCUUCCCUCAGAUGCUGGCUUCUAAUCAGCGGUGACCACAGAUGAGCGGUCGUCAGCAUCCAUCACUGCCAGCAAAUCGCCAGGUGUCAACCUCUGAGUCCCUGCUGCUAAAUCACUCUGUGCUCUGUGACGGAGAUUGGAGACCAGAAACCAAAGCCAGGGAUAUGCUAGUGGGAGGACAGGAAGGGACUGUGAUCGAAAUGAGAGGCCCAGUUUCUGUGCAGAGCAUGACACAUGUGGGGAAACUGAGGCUCAGAGAAGACAUGUGGUACCCAAAGUCCACAUUAUAGGCUCUGGCAGAGCUAAAAAUGAACUCUGCCUUGAAUCACUCACUGACUCAAGGUCCCUGUCCCCAGGGUGUCUAGCAAACACAUACUAUUCCAUGAAAUACUACCAUGCUGAGGCCAGCCCCAUGCAGAGCCCCAUCUAAGCCUGACGACAGAACAGUGUAGAGGUAGACCUAUCCUAUCCUAUCCUCCAAGGGGGUUGUGGGUCUCUUAAGAGAAGGUAAGAAGAUGCCCUUUUUGGGCACAGAGCAUCUGUGUCCAGGAUAUACUAGCAGAGUGAGCCCACUCCACCCUAUUCUACCAGCAGCCUCUUGGGGUAGGAUAGCUCUGUGUAUGGACACCUCACCUGACCCAUCCUGGGCCUCUGACUCCUACCUAUACCACACCUGGGGGUUGCUGGCUACCCAUUCUAUAACUGGGAGUGAGUGGGACAGAUUCCCCAUGGCCAUUCCCAGCUACCCAGCUCUCCCAAUAGCCACCAUGUAGGGGCUUCCAGCUUUGGGCACCACGUCUUUUCAUUGGCCUGCAAUGCCAAUGAAACUCUGGUCAUCCUGCAAUGGCUAAAUCCCUGCCUCCCCAGCCCCUCCGAGCCACCUCUAUGAAGCAAUCCAGGUGUCUUUCCUGGCUGCAGCCUGUCCACUGAGGUCCAGUCUGCAUGCCGAAAGGGACCAAUCCCCACUGACACACAGAGGUCACAAGUGUGAGUAGCAUUUCCCAACCCUUCCCCACCUCAUCUGUAUGCUCUCUUAUGACAGGACCCCUGGUCCUGAAGGGGAGAGUCACAGACAAGUGAGGAGGAGGCCACCCCUGCCCUACUCCUCUUGGUGUGUAUGUAACAAUCUGAGUAGCCUCAGUUUGUCAGCAGAGGUGAGUCCAGGCAAGGCACAGGGCACAGGUAGCCCUGUCUUUCUUCCUCUCCAGUUAGCCAGCCUUCCUCUUUGCCUUUAGGGUGAGGGAGACUGGCUGUGCCUUAAGGAAGGAAAUGGGAUUCUUCAUAUAGACUGGGAAACUGAGUCCAAAGAACAUCAGCCCACCUGCAUAAGGGACAACCUAUACCCACUGUUCGAUGUGCUCACUCAGAGCAGGAAAAAUGUGGUCAAGGUUCCUGCGAGGUUAGGUGGAUCAACCACAGGGUUCUAUCCUUCAUCCCAUGAGUAUUUAUUAAGUGACCCCUGGUGCUGUGAAGACAGAGACAGGCAAGAGAUCGCCCUGGUUUAGAGGGAGAGAAAAAGAUUAUCUUAACACUUAUUUGAGCAGUAGAGGAAGUGACAGGUCUGACGAUAGUCACCAAUGGAUCCAUGACCUAGAAUCGGGGGCAGGAUUGGGGAUCUUCCCAAAGGAGGCAUCGGUUCAGAUGACCCCUAAAGGAUAUAUGUAGGGGUCAGCAGACAAAA